rnacentral:tRNA from 1 species
AAAGGGAGACCUAAUUCCGGUAGGAGACGAAAAAAAAGUAGUCCCAACCAAGAAUCAAUCCCAAAAGGUCGAAGCGAGGCAAGAUUGGCUUUCAAACUAGGUUCUGGGUUCAAACAAGACCUGAAUCAGGAACAAGGGCUAUUAGCUCAGGUGGUUAGAGCGCACCCCUGAUAAGGGUGAGGUCCCUGGUUCGAGUCCAGGAUGGCCCACCUGUACAGGUGGCAAAAACAAAAAAGAAGCGAGGAAUCAGCACCUAAUCUUACUCAUAUAGUAGGAGAGAAUGCUGGCUCUGAGUACAGAGUCCAGAGGAACCUUGAAAACUGCAUAGAGCUAGGUGAAAAAGCCAAAAAAGAAGACCGCAAG